rnacentral:lncRNA from 1 species
ACCCAUAGCAAACCCUGUCAAUGUAAUACAUAUGGUAAAGCUUUAGGGUUCUGAUCAAUAUUCACUUAAUAUUAGAAAAUUUUUGGCAGAGAGAAAUGCUACAAAUGUGAAAAAUGUUGCAAAGACAGUAGGAUGUUUGCAGUUUUUACUAUACGAAGAAAGUUCAUACUACAAAGAGAUGUUACAAAUGUAAAGUAAAGUGGCAAAUGCAAUAAAAAUUUCUCAAACCUUACUGAAAAUAAGAAAGUUCAUACUGGAGAGAAAUACUACAAGUGGAAAGAAUGUGGCAAAAAGUUUACCUGUUCCUCAACCCAUAUUAAACUCAAGAGAAAUUGCACUGUAGAAAGACUUGACAAAUGCAAAGAAUGUAGCAAUGCCUUUAGAUGCUUCUCAGAACUUGCUAAACAUAAGAUAAUUCAUACUGGAGAGAAGCUGUACUAAUGGGAAGAAUGUUAUAAACCCUAUUAGUGGUUCUCAGACCUAAAUAAACAUAAGAUAAUUCAUCCUGGAAAUAAAUCUUACAAAUGUGAUAAAUGUUGAAAAGUUUUACGUGGUUCUUGACCCUUAGUAAACAUAAGAGAAUUCAUACUGUAGAGAAACCUUACAUCUGUGUAGAUGUGGCAAAGCCUUUACCUGCUCCUCAACCCUUAUUAACAACAAAAGUAUUCAUAUGGAAGAGAGCUUACAAAUGUGAAGAAUGUGAUAAAACAUUUCAGUGAUUCUCAGACCUUACUAAUCAUAAGAUAAUUCACACUGAACAGAAACCCCCCAAAAAUGUGAAGAGUGUGGAAAAGAAUUGAGCUUGUUUUCACACCUCAUU